rnacentral:rRNA from 1 species
GACGAACGCUGGCGGCGUGCUUAACACAUGCAAGUCGAACGGUGACGAGGAGCUUGCUCCUCCGAUCAGUGGCGAACGGGUGAGUAACACGUGAGUAACCUGCCCCGGACUCUGGGAUAACAGUUGGAAACAGCUGCUAAUACCGGAUACGAGACGGAGAGGCAUCUCUACCGUCUGGAAAAGUUCUUCGGUCCGGGAUGGACUCGCGGCCUAUCAGCUAGUUGGUGAGGUAACGGCUCACCAAGGCGACGACGGGUAGCCGGCCUGAGAGGGCGACCGGCCACACUGGGACUGAGACACGGCCCAGACUCCUACGGGAGGCAGCAGUGGGGAAUAUUGCACAAUGGGCGAAAGCCUGAUGCAGCGACGCCGCGUGAGGGAUGACGGCC